ensembl:lncRNA
GCAAACUUCAGACGGGCCUGGACAUGUACUGGCUUAAGCAGUGGGACACGUCUGGCACUGCAGGAUUUGAGUCCCUGGCGGCGUAGUGUGUUACUGAUGGACUGAGUUUGGGAAAGGCUGCCCUAGAAUCUUCAGACACAGAUUAAUACACAGAUCUGAACAGCUGCAUAAGAGGCUAUAAUGGGCCGGAGGGCACAGAGGAAUGGAGCAUUCUGAUCGGCACUUUCUGUCAGACCCUGUGUAUAUUAAUUUGGGAGUCUGUUCUUCAGGCUGUUUAGAACCUGGAUGGCCUGAUACCACAUGUUAUGGACACAUACUCUGGGUGAUACUGGCAGAGUGAUUGUAUGGACAGUUACAGCCCUAAGCCGACUCCCACUCCAAAUUAACUCUGCAUUUUUGUCUAGCGAGCAAAUGGAUCUGACAAGCAGAAGGGCCAUAUGUUGUCUAGGAGUGACAUGUGUAUGGACACACACUCUGAGAUACGGGGUGAUGUUACGGACACAGAAACCGUCAGUAUGAUACAGACAGUGACAGGGUGUUGAACUGCAGUACAACGUCUGGGCUGUUCCCUGGAUCCAUUGACCAGAACAGGGACUCCAGAAGGCACAGUUGUGAACCUGGACCGAGAAUGAACAGUUGCCAUGACGUUCCACCGCGUCUGCUCCUUUCAAUUUAUAAUUUUGUGAUUGUUGUUUAUUGUGUCUCUACGAUGCCAAAGGUUCCCCUAGUACUCCUUUUCCUAACCUUAACAAGCUGCAACCACAGCCAGGCUCACUCUAUUGAAUUAAAUGUUAUAAAGGCUUGAUGUUGGCGUCUUCUGUAUGUUUGGUGUGUGUGUCUUCUCUAUAAGCAUCCUGUUUGUCUAGGUUUUGUACUGGGGGUUUUUUUGUACAAAAAAGUAUAGUACAGAAC